AAUCAUGGCUCAGAUUGAACGCUGGCGGAAUGCUUUACACAUGCAAGUCGAACGGUAGAGGGGGCAACCCCUCGAGAGUGGCGAACGGGUGAGUAAUAUAUCGGAACGUGCCCAGUCGUGGGGGAUAACGUAGCGAAAGUUACGCUAAUACCGCAUACGAUCCAAGGAUGAAAGCGGGGGACUCGCAAGAGCCUCGCGCGAUUGGAGCGGCCGAUAUCAGAUUAGGUAGUUGGUGGGGUAAAGGCUCACCAAGCCAACGAUCUGUAGCUGGUCUGAGAGGACGACCAGCCACACUGGGACUGAGACACGGCCCAGACUCCUACGGGAGGCAGCAGUGGGGAAUUUUGGACAAUGGACGCAAGUCUGAUCCAGCCAUUCCGCGUGCAGGAAGAAGGCCUUCGGGUUGUAAACUGCUUUUGUACGGAACGAAAAGGCUCUGGUUAAUACCUGGGGCUGAUGACGGUACCGUAAGAAUAAGCACCGGCUAACUACGUG
rnacentral:rRNA from 1 species